UCUCCUAGGACCAUUUUAUGCGUGAAGUGUAAUGGAUGACAAAGGCAAGUUGAUUUUUGCAAUUAAACAAGAAAAGGGAGGUGAUGAAAGAUGACAUACGAAAUAGGUGCUGACGUUGGUAGGCAACCAUCUACAAGCAAAAAUCCACCUACCACUAACAACCCAAGACCCAAGUUGCAGACUACCUCAAAAAAGAUGUAGAUUUUUAUAAUCGUUUUCAGUUGAUAUGGAAUACUUAAUAAACUGUGUAAUUUAAUCGACAUGAUUAUCAAGUGGCAAUGAAGUAUUAUGUCGUGUAGUAUUGAACAAGUUGAGUUUUAUCUUUCUGUAAUGGAUCAUGUGCUCUUUUGUGGGUAGCU